GUCAGGACAGAAGACAGCAUCCGUGUACAACAAGGAAAAAGGCUCUUGCCAAAGCCAUCAUGCGCCCUGGUCUCAUACUCCUAACCCCCCAAGCAGAGGUGAAGUUGGUGAUGUUCAUAUCACAGUGUGAGCACUGGCUACCUGACUGAAAAAGCCCUCCAAAGGGCGUUUCCUCUGAAGAGCAGAGAAAAGUGGACACCAGAGCUUCCAAGUAAGCAUAGAAAGUCAUGGGUGAGGACCACUCAGGUAUCUGCACGUCCAAGUUCAGGACACCAUCACUUACAAGAGCCCAGCAGUGAGAACAUGGAAAGUCAACGAACAGAUGCACAGCCCAGUCAGAUGUGAAAAACUGUCAACACCGCACCGUUAGCACGAGGACAGUAAGCCAGGCUGGGAAAACAGGUCACCAGGAUCAGG
rnacentral:lncRNA from 1 species